AAGUGAAAAUUCAGAUGUAGGGAGUCAGGGUGUUCCAGUUAAUCAACUAUUGGGUUUGAAUCUUGGCCGAUCUGGCCUUGCUCUUGUAUUUCCCUUGGUACUGUGUUAACUUUCUGUGUAUGAUCUGGCCCAUACUCUGACCUUGCCUCUGCCUCGUGCCUGGUUACUGGUUCUGUCCUCUAGUAAAGGACCCGGCCCGCAGCUCCCACUACAAUCAAAGCCUGUCCUGGGUAUCCUUUUGCUUCAUUUCAAUUUUGUCUGAUGUGAUGCCAAAAGGAGAUGAACCAAUGAAAAUGGAGACUGCCAAGAAAGAUGCCCCACAAUGCGUAUCUGGGGGCUGACGAAUGUAAAGCCAGGCACUUGCCUGGGAGCUAAUGAUAUACAAUGCCCAAUGUUACUAUCACAGGAGAAAAGAAGAAACACUUGUGUCUCAAUAC